rnacentral:rRNA from 1 species
AGAGUUUGAUCAUGGCUCAGAUUGAACGCUGGCGGCAGGCCUAACACAUGCAAGUCGAGCGGUAGAGAGAAGCUUGCUUCUCUUGAGAGCGGCGGACGGGUGAGUAAUGCCUAGGAAUCUGCCUGGUAGUGGGGGAUAACGCUCGGAAACGGACGCUAAUACCGCAUACGUCCUACGGGAGAAAGCAGGGGACCUUCGGGCCUUGCGCUAUCAGAUGAGCCUAGGUCGGAUUAGCUAGUUGGUGAGGUAAUGGCUCACCAAGGCGACGAUCCGUAACUGGUCUGAGAGGAUGAUCAGUCACACUGGAACUGAGACACGGUCCAGACUCCUACGGGAGGCAGCAGUGGGGAAUAUUGGACAAUGGGCGAAAGCCUGAUCCAGCCAUGCCGCGUGUGUGAAGAAGGUCUUCGGAUUGUAAAGCACUUUAAGUUGGGAGGAAGGGCAUUAACCUAAUACGUUGGUGUCUUGACGUUACCGACAGAAUAAGCACCGGCUAACUCUGUGCCAGCAGCCGCGGUAAUACAGAGGGUGCAAGCGUUAAUCGGAAUUACUGGGCGUAAAGCGCGCGUAGGUGGUUUGUUAAGUUGGAUGUGAAAUCCCCGGGCUCAACCUGGGAACUGCAUUCAAAACUGACAAGCUAGAGUAUGGUAGAGGGUGGUGGAAUUUCCUGUAGCGGUGAAAUGCGUAGAUAUAGGAAGGAACACCAGUGGCGAAGGCGACCACCUGGACUGAUACUGACACUGAGGUGCGAAAGCGUGGGGAGCAAACAGGAUUAGAUACCCUAGUAGUCC